rnacentral:rRNA from 1 species
UACGAAGGGGGCUAGCGUUGCUCGGAAUCACUGGGCGUAAAGGGUGCGUAGGCGGGUCUUUAAGUCAGGGGUGAAAUCCUGGAGCUCAACUCCAGAACUGCCUUUGAUACUGGCGAUCUUGAGUCCGGGAGAGGUGAGUGGAACUGCGAGUGUAGAGGUGAAAUUCGUAGAUAUUCGCAAGAACACCAGUGGCGAAGGCGGCUCACUGGCUCGGUACUGACGCUGAGGUGCGAAAGCGUGGGGAGCAAACAGG